rnacentral:lncRNA from 1 species
UUCUUCGUCGUUAGUAUUAUAACGUGAUGCUUAAUUCUUAUUUGAUAUUUUAGCCAAUUUAUAUCGAUAAUUUAUUUUACGCAUGCAUCUCUAUGCUACAUAGUUUUUAUAAAUAUCCAUGUUAAAGCCAAUAGAGAUCAUAGAUUUGUGUUUAUCAAAUGAUCAUGUAACAAUUUUUAAAAACAGUAAGAAAGGGAAUGACUCGUGAG